GACGAACGCUGGCGGCGUGCUUAACACAUGCAAGUCGAGCGGUAAGGCCUUUCGGGGUACACGAGCGGCGAACGGGUGAGUAACACGUGGGUGAUCUGCCCUGCACUUCGGGAUAAGCCUGGGAAACUGGGUCUAAUACCGGAUAUGACCUCCUAUCGCAUGGUGGGUGGUGGAAAGAUUUAUCGGUGCAGGAUGGGCCCGCGGCCUAUCAGCUUGUUGGUGGGGUAAUGGCCUACCAAGGCGACGACGGGUAGCCGACCUGAGAGGGUGACCGGCCACACUGGGACUGAGACACGGCCCAGACUCCUACGGGAGGCAGCAGUGGGGAAUAUUGCACAAUGGGCGAAAGCCUGAUGCGGCGACGCCGCGUGAGGGAUGACGGCCUUCGGGCUGUAAACCUCUUUCAGCAGGGACGAAGCGCAAGUGACGGUACCUGCAGAAGAAGCACCGGCUAACUACGUG
rnacentral:rRNA from 1 species